UUGCAAAAGAAGUAGGUAGCUUAACCUUCGGGAGGGCGCUUACCACUUUGUGAUUCAUGACUGGGGUGAAGUCGUAACAAGGUAACCGUAGGGGAACCUGCGGUUGGAUCACCUCCUUACCUAAAGA
rnacentral:rRNA from 1 species